GGAGGAACAGUCCCAAAGAGAACAGGCCGCCGCGCGCGCCGCCGCGGACGUGUCGCGCAAGGCGAAGGAUGCAAAGGCGGCGG
rnacentral:ribozyme from 1 species